UGCUACCAUCUAAAAUUCUCUAAAUCCACGUUUGCUCCAGGGCAGGAAGGAACAGAGGUAUAUGCCAUAGUUGCAAACAGCCGAAUCGCUCGUUGGAAUGUUCCAGAAAGAGAAGAUGCCCAAAAUGUAGUGAGGGGUUUGUGAAGUGGAUGGAGGUGGAAAAAAAUAGUGCAAACAAAGGACUGAUGAUCCAUUGUUGUACUUGUUACUAUAGGCAUUUUAAGUGGUGUGAUGUUUCGCCAUAUGACAACGAGUUAGUGCAUUACGAAGGUGAAUUAAGUUCAACGAUCCAACUAUUGACAUGUCAAUUGUGUUCCAAAAAUGUGCUAAUAUAGCCGACGAAAAUUACUAUUUGGAGAUUUUCCUCAACAUAACUCAAGGAAAACGAGAUCUGGAUGACGAGGAGAAAGCGAAAAAAAGGGUGUAAAUUAAAUCGUGUAUUGUUGAUAUAAUGUGACGAUAUUACAUUAGAUGUGGUGUUGAAUUUGGAUGUAAUCGAAUUGUCGUAACGUUUGUUGUCUCGUAGUCUGUAUUCACUUGUUUAAUUAGGGGAAAAAAACUAUGUACUCAAGGAAGCUUACUAUUUUUGCGCAAUUUUUAUCGAAUGAAUUGUGAUUGUUCUGUGUU